UUUGGCACAGUAAAUAAAGUUAGACUUUCAAGAAGUAAAAAGACUGCAAGAUCAAAAGGUUAUGCUUUUGUGGAGUUUGCCUCUGAUGAAGUUGCCAAAAUUGUGGCUGAAACUAUGCACAAUUACAUGAUGUUCGGAAGAUUAUUAAAAUGCAAAGUUAUCCCAAAUGACAGAGUCCAUCCCA